rnacentral:rRNA from 1 species
UACAGAGGUCUCAAGCGUUGUUCGGAUUCAUUGGGCGUAAAGGGUGCGUAGGCGGCGCGGUAAGUCGGGGUGUGAAAUCUCGGGAGCUUAACUCCGAAACUGCAUUCGAUACUGCCGUGCUUGAGGACUGGAGAGGAGACUGGAAUUUACGGUGUAGCGGUGAAAUGCGUAGAUAUCGUAAGGAAGACCAGUGGCGAAGGCGGGUCUCUGGACAGUUCCUGACGCUGAAGCACGAAGGCCAGGGGGAGCAAACGGG